rnacentral:rRNA from 1 species
UAACGGCGAGUGAAGCGGUAACAGCUCAGAUUUGAAAUCUGGCUCUUUCAGGGUCCGAGUUGUAAUUUGUAGACKAUGCUUUGGGUGUGGUGCCGGUCUAAGUUCCUUGGAACAGGACGUCAUAGAGGGUGAGAAUCCCGUAUGUGAUCGGUCGCCUUCGCCCGUGUAAAGCUCGUUCGACGAGUCGAGUUGUUUGGGAAUGCAGCUCAAAAUGGGUGGUAAAUUUCAUCUAAAGCUAAAUAUUGGCCAGAGACCGAUAGCGCACAAGUAGAGUGAUCGAAAGAUGAAAAGCACUUUGGAAAGAGAGUUAAACAGUACGUGAAAUUGUUGAAAGGGAAGCGCUUGCAACCAGACUUGGGCUGUCGCAAUCAUCCGGGGCUUGCCCCGGUGCACUUGUGGCGGCACAGGCCAGCAUCAGUUUCGGUGGUGGGAUAAAGGCCUUGGGAAUGUAGCUUCUUUCGGGGAGUGUUAUAGCCCUCGGUGCAAUGCCGCCUACUGGGACUGAGGACCGCGCUUCGGCUAGGAUGCUGGCGUAAUGGUUGUAAGCGACCCGUCUUGAAACACGGACCAAGGAGUCUAACAUCUAUGCGAGUGUUUGGGUGUCAAACCCAUACGCGUAAUGAAAGUGAACGGAGGUGAGAACCCGUUAGGGUGCAUCAUCGACCGAUCCUGAUGUCUUCGGAUGGAUUUGAGUAAGAGCAUAGCUGUUGGGACCCGAAAGAUGGUGAACUAUGCCUAAAUAGGGUGAAGCCAGAGGAAACUCUGGUGGAGGCUCGCAGCGGUUCUGACGUGCAAAUCGAUCGUCAAAUUUGGGUAUAGGGGCGAAAGACUA